rnacentral:rRNA from 1 species
AUAUUGGUCAAUGGACGAGAGUCUGAACCAGCCAAGUCGCGUGAGGGAAGACUGCCCUAUGGGUUGUAAACCUCUUUUAUAAGGGAAGAAUAAGUUCUACGUGUAGAAUGAUGCCUGUACCUUAUGAAUAAGCAUCGGCUAACUCCGUGCCAGCAGCCGCGGUAAUACGGAGGAUGCGAGCGUUAUCCGGAUUUAUUGGGUUUAAAGGGUGCGUAGGCGGUUUAUUAAGUUAGUGGUUAAAUAUUUGAGCUAAACUCAAUUGUGCCAUUAAUACUGGUAAACUGGAGUACAGACGAGGUAGGCGGAAUAAGUUAAGUAGCGGUGAAAUGCAUAGAUAUAACUUAGAACUCCGAUAGCGAAGGCAGCUUACCAGACUGUAACUGACGCUGAUGCACGAGAGCGUGGGUAGCGAACAGGAUUAGAUACCCUGGUAGUCCACGCCGUAAACGAUGCUCACUGGUUCUGUGCGAUAUAUUGUACGGGAUUAAGCGAAAGUAUUAAGUGAGCCACCUGGGGAGUACGUCGGCAACGAUGAAACUCAAAGGAAUUGACGGGGGCCCGCACAAGCGGAGGAACAUGUGGUUUAAUUCGAUGAUACGCGAGGAACCUUACCUGGGUUUAAAUGGGAAAUGUCGUAUUUGGAAACAGAUAUUCUCUUCGGAGCGUUUUUCAAGGUGCUGCAUGGUUGUCGUCAGCUCGUGCCGUGAGGUGUCGGGUUAAGUCCCAUAACGAGCGCAACCCUUACCGUUAGUUGCUAGCAUGUAAUGAUGAGCACUCUAACGGGACUGCCACCGUAAGGUGAGAGGAAGGCGGGGAUGACGUCAAAUCAGCACGGCCCUUACACCCAGGGCUACACACGUGUUACAAUGGCCGGUACAGAGGGCCGCUACCAGGUGACUGGAUGCCAAUCUCAAAAGCCGGUCGUAGUUCGGAUUGGAGUCUGUAACCCGACUCCAUGAAGUUGGAUUCGCUAGUAAUCGCGCAUCAGCCAUGGCGCGGUGAAUACGUUCCCGGGCCUUGUACACACCGCCCGUCAAGCCAUGGAAGCCGGGGGUGCCUGAAGUCCGUAACCGCGAGGAUCGGCCUAGGGCAAAACUGGUAACUGGGGCUAAGUCGUAACAAGGUAGCCGUACCGGAA